UGAACCGCAUGGUUCAAAAGUGAAAGACGGUCUUGCUGUCACUUAUAGAUGGAUCCGCGCUGCAUUAGCUAGUUGGUAAGGUAACGGCUUACCAAGGCAACGAUGCAUAGCCGACCUGAGAGGGUGAUCGGCCACACUGGAACUGAGACACGGUCCAGACUCCUACGGGAGGCAGCAGUAGGGAAUCUUCCGCAAUGGGCGAAAGCCUGACGGAGCAACGCCGCGUGAGUGAUGAAGGUCUUCGGAUCGUAAAACUCUGUUAUUAGGGAAGAACAUAUGUGUAAGUAACUGUGCACAUCUUGACGGUACCUAAUCAGAAAGCCACGGCUAACUACGUGCCAGCAGCCGCGGUAAUACGUAGGUGGCAAGCGUUAUCCGGAAUUAUUGGGCGUAAAGCGCGCGUAGGCGGUUUUUUAAGUCUGAUGUGAAAGCCCACGGCUCAACCGUGGAGGGUCAUUGGAAACUGGAAAACUUGAGUGCAGAAGAGGAAAGUGGAAUUCCAUGUGUAGCGGUGAAAUGCGCAGAGAUAUGGAGGAACACCAGUGGCGAAGGCGACUUUCUGGUCUGUAACUGACGCUGAUGUGCGAAAGCGUGGGGAUCAAACAGGAUUAGAUACCCUGGUAGUCCACGCCGUAAACGAUGAGUGCUAAGUGUUAGGGGGUUUCCGCCCCUUAGUGCUGCAGCUAACGCAUUAAGCACUCCGCCUGGGGAGUACGACCGCAAGGUUGAAACUCAAAGGAAUUGACGGGGACCCGCACAAGCGGUGGAGCAUGUGGUUUAAUUCGAAGCAACGCGAAGAACCUUACCAAAUCUUGACAUCCUUUGACAACUCUAGAGAUAGAGCCUUCCCCUUCGGGGGACAAAGUGACAGGUGGUGCAUGGUUGUCGUCAGCUCGUGUCGUGAGAUGUUGGGUUAAGUCCCGCAACGAGCGCAACCCUUAAGCUUAGUUGCCAUCAUUAAGUUGGGCACUCUAAGUUGACUGCCGGUGACAAACCGGAGGAAGGUGGGGAUGACGUCAAAUCAUCAUGCCCCUUAUGAUUUGGGCUACACACGUGCUACAAUGGACAAUACAAAGGGCAGCGAAACCGCGAGGUCAAGCAAAUCCCAUAAAGUUGUUCUCAGUUCGGAUUGUAGUCUGCAACUCGACUACAUGAAGCUGGAAUCGCUAGUAAUCGUAGAUCAGCAUGCUACGGUGAAUACGUUCCCGGGUCUUG
rnacentral:rRNA from 1 species